GACUUCUUAGCUCAGUGGUAGAGCGUGAGAUUCCAGUCCUCAAGGUCAUCCGUUCAAUCCGGGUAGAGGUCA
rnacentral:tRNA from 1 species